rnacentral:rRNA from 1 species
AUUGAACGCUGGCGGCAUGCCUUACACAUGCAAGUCGAACGGUAACAGGUCUUCGGAUGCUGACGAGUGGCGAACGGGUGAGUAAUACAUCGGAACGUGCCUAGUAGUGGGGGAUAACUACUCGAAAGAGUGGCUAAUACCGCAUGAGAUCUAAGGAUGAAAGCAGGGGAUCGCAAGACCUUGUGCUACUAGAGCGGCCGAUGGCAGAUUAGGUAGUUGGUGGGAUAAAAGCUUACCAAGCCGACGAUCUGUAGCUGGUCUGAGAGGACAAUCAGCCAGACUGGGACUGAGACACGGCCCAGACGCCUACGGGAGGCAGCAGUGGGGAAUUUUGGACAAUGGGCGCAAGCCUGAUCCAGCAAUGCCGCGUGCAGGGUGAAGGCCUUCGGGUUGUAAACUGCUUUUGUACGGAACGAAAAGCCCUGGGUUAAUACCCUGGGGUCAUGACGGUACCGUAAGAAUAAGCACCGGCUAACUACGUGCCAGCCGCCGCAGUAAUAC